rnacentral:rRNA from 1 species
GACAGGGUGGUGCAAACGUUGCUCGGAAUUACUGGGCGUAAAGGGCGUGUAGGCGGGAAGGCAAGUCGGGCGUGAAAGCCCCAGGCUCAACCUGGGAACUGCACUCGAAACUGCCUUUCUUGAGUGCCGGAGAGGAAAGCGGAAUUCCUGGUGUAGAGGUGAAAUUCGUGGAUAUCAGGAGGACACCAGUGGCGAAGGCGGCUUUCUGGACGGUAACUGACGCUGAGACGCGAAAGCGUGGGGAGCAAACAGG